AAAAAAAGGACAAUUUUUUUUUUUAAAGACAGAGUUCACCAAGUUGUUCACUAAUCAUUAUUAUUGCCAGUGUUGCUUAAAAGCAUUGUAAAAAAGGCAAAGGUGAAAUGUCAGUCCCCACCCAGCCAGUUCCGACCUCCCAGCCAACGUGAACACAGCCCUGCAGGAUAGAGGGGCUGUGCAGGCUUUCUGGGGACACAGCCUGGCUCCACUUCCGCCAGGUCAGGGGCAGCUACUCAGAGUUCCGCCUGAGGCACGUGUCCCUUUGCUCUUUCUGUAGCUGCCAUGGUGUGGACGGUAGGCAUGGCGAAGCUGGACCCCUCCUCUCAGGGAGCACUGCAGCUCCCUUACGAUCCAGAGAUGGAAGAAGACUCCUAUGACAGUUUUGGGGAACCCUCAUACCCUGAAGCCUUCGAAGCUCCCCAGCCUGGCUACCCAGGGGAAGAGCCGGAGGAGGAGGAGGAAAGUAAGGUGCCCAAGUCCACGAGGCGGCAGGGCGGGGCCUCCACACGUCUUCUGUUGCUGGGUUACAUGUGCUCUGGAGGGUGGCAGCAUGAAGCUUAUUUAAGAAUACCUCUAGUCGGGGCUGGGGAUUUAGCUCAGUGGUAGAGCGCUUACCUAGGAAGCGCAAGGCCCUGGGUUUGGUCCCCAGCUCCGAAAAAAAAGAACCAAAAAAAAAAAAAAAAAAAAAAAGAAUACCUCUAGUCAGCUCUCAUGCUAACCCGCACAGUAGCCUGCAGCCCCAGUGGUCAGCAACUGUCCCUUUCUCUCCCAACCAAGUGGCUCACUGAAGUACCAGGCUUGGCUGCCAGUCACUCAGUCCUUGGUCCCUCUUGUCCCCAGUCUGCAGUACUGAAUACUGCUACCGAGGGAUGCUUUCAUCCCGACCCUCAGGCUUGGUCACUUGGCUGAUGUCCUGACCCUUCAAUUCCUUUUGCCUGCUUCCUGCUGAGGUUUCCUAUCAGUUGGAUUAGACAGAGGCCACGUUCUUUUCUCCCCACAGGGGGUGUAAAGCUUGGUCUGGGAGACUUCAUCUUCUACAGCGUUCUGGUGGGCAAGGCAGCAGCCACAGGCAACGGAGACUGGAGCACGACGCUGGCCUGCUUUAUCGCCAUCCUCAUUGGCUUGUGUCUCACCCUCCUGCUGCUCGCCGUGUUCAAGAAGGCCCUGCCCGCCCUCCCCAUCUCCAUCACCUUCGGGCUCAUCUUUUACUUCUCCACAGACAACCUGGUGCGUCCUUUCAUGGACACGUUGGCCUCCCACCAGCUCUACAUCUGACAGAAGAGCUGCGGCUCUGAGAGCUGUAGGACGCUUCGC
rnacentral:lncRNA from 1 species